rfam:Hirsutella minnesotensis 3608 unplaced genomic scaffold MNSD_Scf_2, whole genome shotgun sequence.
GCCCCCUUGGCGUAAUGGUUAACGCGUCAGACUUCUAAUCUGAAGACUGGGAGUUCGAAUCUCCCAGGGGGCU